GUCUGGGCUGGGAUGACGGGGGACACAAUAGCGGUGUACAGUUAGUGACAGGUCCUCUUUAGGUCUUCUCUGAGGUCUGGGGUGGGAUGACGGGGGACACAAUAGCGGUGUACAGUUAGUGACAGGUCCUCUUUAGGUCUUCUCUGAGGUCUGGGGUGGGAUGACGGGGGACACAAUAGCGGUGUACAGUUAGUGACAGGUCCUCUUUAGGUCUUCUCUAUGGCUGAGGUCUGGGGUGGGAUGACGGGGGACACAAUAGCGGUGUACAGUUAGUGACAGGUCCUCUUUAGGUCUUCUCUAUGGCUGAGGUCUGGGGUGGGAUGACGGGGGACACAAUAGCGGUGUACAGUUAGUGACAGGUCCUCUUUAGGUCUUCUCUAUGACUGAGGUCUGGGGUGGGAUGACGGGGGACACAAUAGCGGUGUACAGUUAGUGACAGGUCCUCUUUAGGUCUUCUCUGAGGUCUGGGGUGAGAUGACGGGGGACACAAUAGCGGUGUACAGUUAGUGACAGGUCCUCUCUAGGUCUUCUCUGAGGUCUGGGGUGGGAUGACGGGGGACACAAUAGCGGUGUACAGUUAGUGACAGGUCCUCUUUAGGUCUUCUCUGAGGUCUGGGGUGGGAUGAUGGGGGACACAAUAGCGGUGUACAGUUAGUGACAGGUCCUCUUUAGGUCUUCUCUGAGGUCUGGGCUGGGAUGACGGGGGACACAAUAGCGGUGUACAGUUAGUGACAGGUCCUCUUUAGGUCUUCUCUGAGGUCUGGGGUGGGAUGACGGGGGACACAAUAGCGGUGUACAGUUAGUGACAGGUCCUCUUUAGGUCUUCUCUGAGGUCUGGGGUGGGAUGAUGGGGGACACAAUACCGGUGUACAGUUAGUGACAGGUCCUCUUUAGGUCUUCUCUGAGGUCUGGGGUGGGAUGACGGGGGACACAAUAGCGGUGUACAGUUAGUGACAGGUCCUCUUUAGGUCUUCUCUGAGGUCUGGGGUGAGAUGACGGGGGACACAAUAGCGGUGUACAGUUAGUGACAGGUCCUCUCUAGGUCUUCUCUGAGGUCUGGGGUGGGAUGACGGGGGACACAAUAGCGGUGUACAGUUAGUGACAGGUCCUCUUUAGGUCUUCUCUAUGGCUGAGGUCUGGGGUGGGAUGACGGGGGACACAAUAGCGGUGUACAGUUAGUGACAGGUCCUCUUUAGGUCUUCUCUGAGGUCUGGGGUGGGAUGACGGGGGACACAAUAGCGGUGUACAGUUAGUGACAGGUCCUCUUUAGGUCUUCUCUGAGGUCUGGGGUGGGAUGACGGGGGACACAAUAGCGGUGUAC